ACCGUUUAAUUUGAUCGGUGAGUUGUUGUGGAGAUGCCACUGACAUUCGGUGGCCCAAUGCUCACAUUUGAUUAAAUUAUUCAUAAUUGGUAUUGUUUGGUUACAAGUAUUUACGAGUUUUACCCCCAAAUUACAUGUCUUGUUCAGCAAAAGCAUGGGUCUUCGUUUUUGGGUCAGAUCAAAAGAAUGGGUGAUGGCAGGAAAACCAAAAUUUGUUCCAAAAUUAUACUUUGUUUAUUGUAUUUGAAAUUGAAACCCACCCAAUAUCUACAACACUCGGUCUUAACAAACGAUCACUUUACCAAAAUUUAUGUAUGACCUAGCUCUCUCUCUCUCUCUCUCUCUCGAAACGAGAUUGAAGGCUGAAUCUUCUCAGAGACGUCGUCCAUGUUUGGCCUCUGUAAUCUCGCUUAGCUUGGAUUGCUUCAUCUUCUCCUCCAUAUCUAUAUGUAGCCUUUCAAGGAGGAGAUCAAGGAAUUCGAUCAAUCAUCAGAUGCUAUUGGGGCUUCGAUUCGGUUCAUUCUCUGACUUCUUGUUGUUGGAUUGCACAGGACGCGCCGCCUUAAACGAGCUCUCAUCUCAAGACUAUGGGAGAAUCAGAUUUUCAAAUUGGGUCAUGUAAUUGAAAGUGCUAAAGUGGUGGUAGCUGGAGUGUCAUGGCAAUUCACUGAAGGUAAUGUCCAGUCGGCCUUGUUAGAAGGGAAUCAAUGGAUUCUGUUUUGAAAAAGACUCUGACCAGGGAAUGAACCUUCACCCAAAAGAUUGGAAUGAAGCAAUCUCAAAUUGAAAUGUAGGAAUGUUAGGCUUUUGAUAUCCAUUUGAAGUGGCAUGGAACCAACUGAAGUUUAAUGACUUGCUGGGAAACUGAAAGAAUUUAAGAGGCUGUACGAAUUAACCUGCUGAAGACAUUGAGACAAUAUCAUGCAGUUUCCUUCUAGAGUUUAUACCAUUAUAUGAAACAUCAACUUUGUGGUAGGUUUAAGCUUUGUAAGUUGCAACAAGUUUCUUUAUUUCGGAUAAGG